CUACAUUCCCUUUGGAGGUAAAUUAACUCUUUCCGGCUCCUUCUUGCAAUACAACUGUAAUUUUCCAAGUGCAAUGCUUGCAGCCAAAAAGUUCAAUUAUCAUUCAAAUGCAGGCAAUUUACUUACUGGUAGGAUCAGUGCCCUUAGUUCAUAUUCGGGAGGAGGCAAACAUCAGAUGGAGCCCAUCUCUGUUCUAACCGCCCGUGGCCAACAAUCACUGGAGCACGGUUGAGACUUGUUUAGGGUUCGGAGUCCCUUAUAAGUGAGGACUCAGCCAUUAGGACCAAACAGCCCAGCAAGGAACAGCCCUAUACUGCUUGCUUGCUAAUGGCUUGGAACCCACAGCUAAGAGGGCCCUCGGUGCAGAUCGCGGCUUUGAGCUCCUUCAGUCCGAACCUAUUGGGCCUUGGAGAGUGGAGCUUGGAGCUCUGAGAAUAUGGCUCGGUGCAUCCGCGGUCACGGCCAGGCUACAUCUCCCGGAGGCCUGCCCAGAUGAGUCCCAGGAGACCAGUGCUGUAGAUUUCACAAGGCUCAGGGCCGCGGAGAACGACUCUGGCCAGGCAUGGAUCCCAGCCCCUUGGGAGACUUCAUCCGACCCACCGGGCCGCAGGGUGGCUGGUCGAGGAAGACCCCUUCACUCUUUUCCAAAAGGCCCCAACUUCAGUCCGAGGUAUGGGGGACUGGGUGAAGGGUGGGGUGAGUCCACGGCCCCCACGCUCCUCCUCACCAUCUGGCCACUCCAUGAGCCCCUCCUGAGCCCAUCCCUGUGGAGCUUGCUGCCUCCUGAAGCAGUUUGGGGCCUCCGUCCUCUCCAGCUUCUGGCUUUCCCCUGGCAUCUUCUCAUGAGUUGGGGGAGGGGAGGGAGGCUUAUACUUCCUUAUUCUGUUUUGGAGGGUAAAGAUGGCACAGGGCUGUUCAUAACGGGGGAAGGAUGCAGAAAUAGCACUAGGAAUAACAUGCAGGCAUUUGACUGCGUGUGUCCUGUUCCUUUCUUAACAGAUGGCCCUCCGGUCUGGGGUCCACCCCUCGUAACCCCCCUCAUCCUGGCCAGGGAUCUAUCUUAGCUCCUUAUUUACACAGCAAGUGUCUGGUCCUCGGCUAGGAACUGUGAGCACAUUCCUCUGUGGUGACCAAGUGGUCCUUUGUAGGGUUUGGGGGGCAGCUGAGGGCUGCCGCUCCCUGGGCAUGCAGGGUCCUGACCACACACUCUCUCCUCUCUCCCUUGAGGGAUAUGGGUCCAACUGAGGCUGAAAGUAUCAUGGGGUUGGGGGAGGCUACACCUACCUGUUUGUGCUUCUGGCUUUUCAGACUUCCCUUUCUCUGGAGCAUGAAGAUAAGGAGGGAGGCAAUCCCCUCUCAGUGAUGGACCUGGGCAUCGAUUAAAUUCCCUUAGGGGGCAGAAGUGUUGAAAAAAAAUGCGUGGCAAAAUGGCAGGGACUUUACUUGUAAAUACUGUUAAUUUCACCUAUUCUCUUCUCUGCGGAUGAAGUAUGAAAAUCGAGUAUACUUUUCUUGAAAGUAAAUCUAAGACAGUGAGCUGCAUCCUUGCGUGUUUGUUUCCACGCAAACAGGAGGCAGAGACUGCUAAUUCCCUCCCCCUGUCCUUGGUUGGAGAAUUUCAGUUGUAGUCUACCAGUCCAUGGACUCCACCAAAAGACUACAGCUCUCAGUUUCCCCCGCAACUCGGUGUGACCACCUGCCUAGGUCCUGGCCAAUGAGGUAUAAACUGAGGCGUAUCCCAGAGGCUUCCUAAGUGAGUUGACUGAUGGGCUACACCCUUUCUGCCACGUGAGAUUUCUUCCUUCUUUUGGCCUGCGGGCAGGACACCGUGGCCGAAGUGACAGCAUCUAUCCUGGGCCAUUGAGGCUGGAAAGCACAUGUUAGGUAGAUAAAGCAGAACACCGGGGUCUGGGCCCCUGAAGACCAUGGAAUCACCAAACCCGUCCUUCCUUUGAACUUUUGCAUGAUAGUGAAAUAAAUAAUGUCUAUCUUAUUUAAGCCA
rnacentral:lncRNA from 1 species